GUAGGCAAGUUUUCGGUCAAGGAUUCCUAAGAAUUAUUUAGGGAUCAUUUGUGACGAAGGGGUCCUUAAUAGAUCAUCAUUAAGUUGUUAAUAAGAACAAUUAGGCUCUUUUGCUCCGUUUUCCUGGAUUAUAAGACUAUCGAAGAACACAGACACAGGGCCUAAUAUUUAGAAGAUGGAAAAAGGAGUGAUUUUUUGAAGGAUUUGUUGGUUUUGUAUAACUUUUGUUUCUGAAAGUAAGUGGUAAAAGACAAGAUAAGUGAAGUGGAAAUACCGUCGAACAAAUAUUAUGUAAAUUCACAAAAACUCAUAUUUGAAACCUCAUCUCAACUUUUGCUCCUUGAGGCUGGUCUAAUUUUCUUUGAUAAGGUUUUAUAAAGCUUCCCUCGUUUUACUUUCAAGGCACAUAAGCGAGAAUAGUUGGAAUCCCCUUAAAAUCUGCCCUCUACUGAGCUUGGGGUCUGAGAUCCUCUAAGCUGGCUAAAGGGCCGAUCUUAUGCAAUUGGAGCCAUUGUAGAAGCUGGAAGCCUGAAACCGUUUGCUUGGGCAAGGGCAACGCCCCCAAAGCCCCCCAAGCGUAUAGUGCUCAAUGAAGUGUUAUGUUGGUAAUCCAAAAUUGUUCCGAAGCCAAUGAGUUGGCACGUGAUUUGCAUGGUUAAACAAGCUCUUUCAAAGGAUGUGAGACCAGACUCAUAUUUGCCAGGUCAUGCCGACUUGCUUUGAGACCCUAAUAUUCUUCGUGAUUUUUAUUCUUUCCUGCCCUUUUUUGGCCUAUCUCGAUUCUGAAGGUCUGAACUUUGAACCUCCUUAGAAGUAAGUCGAGCAGUAGAGCCGAACGAGCAGCUGCAUUCAACUAAUAUGAAAACGCCAUCAACAAAGUUGUCUGCUCUGAGAACAAGUUAAGGAACUCCCCAAACUCCUCGAGACAUUUGAGAUAUCUAGUAAGCCUCGUGCCAAUCUCUUAACACGGGAUUUCUUAUGAAACCUAACACGUCUAAGCAGUUCAAGUCUGAAUCCGAUCCACGUCAACUCUAAAGCCAUUCAGUGAUUCAGAAGGCUUCAUUGGGCAAUCGUGGGCGGGUUCUUCAUUCAGCUCAAUCGAUCGCCGGAUUGCCUGUUCUGAUAUCCUCAUCAUGUCUGCUUGGACCAUUGCGUCUAACCGCCUGUUUCCAGUGUCCCCCGAAGAUGGGUCAAUGAUAACGACCAGUCCAUUGACCACAUUUGCCGAUCUCUGGAAGGAACAAACUUGUGUCAUCAUAUUCUUCCGACGGUUUGGAUGACCAUUUUGUCGGCUUGCGGCCCGAAGGAUCUCUCAAGAGAUCGGUCCGCAAGUGCAAAAACACGCCAUUCGAUUGGUGGGCAUUGGAUUAGAGAAGCUCGGGGUGGAAGAUUUUGUGGCCGGGCAAUUUUUCCAAGGCGAACUUUUCAUUGAUGCCGAGGAUCGGAAGAGCUAUCGUGACCUUGGCUUCCACCAAAUGAGUGGGAUGGAUCUCGUGCCCGGGUUAUUGUCCCCGCAGGCCCUUUCGGCUGGUUUCAAUGCCACGCUUUCCGGUUUGGGCGGCAAUAUGUGGGGUAAUGGAAUGCAAAAUGGUGGACUUCUGGUCGUGGAGCGUGGUGGCAAUAAAGUUCCCUUUUCUUUCCGUCAAAACCAACCAUCGGAUCAUCCGGAUCGUAAAGCUAUUCUGGAUGCUCUCAACAUUCCACACGGGGAGCGUCUGUCGGAUGAGAGGAGCUCAUCUUAACCCCAUACCAAGAGCCUAGAGCCUAGAGCCUGAGCCCCAAGAUGGAAUUCCCCAUGUCGGAGCUCGACAAUCACCCAAGCGAUGCAAGCGAAUACUAUACAUGUAGGACAUGCACCAAGAGGACCACCACCACCAAGUCCUACGAGGAUUCUCUCCUUACGACUUUGUUGUACUACCCUUUCUGCCUACAAAUAGUUACUGCAAAGAAGUUUUCUCGGCCUUCUUUAUGAAAACAAUGGAAGAAAAACUCGAAAGUUUCAUAGUUGGAUGAUUUAGAACAAAGAGAUUGCUUUUUUGUAUGCUUGUUUCAUUGCUUGACAAUACAAUAGUCUCCGCUCCGGGUUUCCAAAACUUGAUGCCAUAAAAAAUAAACUUGACAGAUAAACUA